UACGGGGGGGGUAAGCGUUGUUCGGAAUUACUGGGCGUAAAGGGUUCGUAGGUGGCCAACUAAGUCAGACGUGAAAUCCCUCAGCUUAACUGGGGAACUGCGUCUGAUACUGGUCUGGCUUGAGUGCAGGAGAGGAACGCGGAAUUCCAGGUGUAGCGGUGAAAUGCGUAGAUAUCUGGAGGAACACCGGUGGCGAAGGCGGCGUUCUGGACUGCAACUGACACUGAGGAACGAAAGCCAGGGGAGCAAACGGG
rnacentral:rRNA from 1 species